AAUACGUAGGUGGCGAGCGUUGUCCGGAAUCACUGGGCGUAAAGCGCGCGCAGGCGGCGAUCUACGUCUGGGGUGAAAGCCCGGAGCUCAACUCCGGGACUGCCUUGGAUACGGGAUCGCUUGAGGAUCGGAGAGGCAAGGGGAAUUCCACGUGUAGCGGUGAAAUGCGUAGAGAUGUGGAGGAACACCUGUGGCGAAGGCGCCUUGCUGGCCGAUUUCUGACGCUGAGGCGCGAAAGCGUGGGGAGCAAACAGGA
rnacentral:rRNA from 1 species